UUCUUUCGUUUUGCUCCCUCUUGUAAUAAUCAACCUCAAUCAAGUUUUCCUCUAUCACAAUUUAUUCAGUCUUCUAAUCACUCUGAUUUUUCUCUCUAAGUGACAGCUAUGGUUGCCUCUAUGAAUAUAAACACUGAUUGUAAUUGGUGUCCUGAUUUUAGGGCUACCAAUCAUCUGACCAACAAUUUCAACAAUCUCUCUAUUGGAUCUAAGUAUGGGGGAAGAAGUCUAAAUAUAUGCAGCAUAUGUUCAGGAUCAGGCUACUAGCCAAAUACUACUCCAAGGGAAACACCAUGAAGGCCUCUACCGUUUCAACAUCCAACCAUUGAAUGACUCUGUUCCAAAUUCUUUUAUUUCUAAGAAUGUUUCCUUAACAACUUCCGUUAUUAUGAAUUCUCAUACGAUGUUUACUUCAAAAGCUAGUUUCGUGAUGCUUGUGCUCUUGUCAAACAUAAUGCUCUUCCCUUUUAAAAAUCCAAUACUGUUUAUUCUGCCCUA